rnacentral:rRNA from 1 species
UACGUAGGGUGCAAGCGUUGUCCGGAAUUAUUGGGCGUAAAGAGCUCGUAGGCGGUUUGUUGCGUCGGCUGUGAAAUCCCGAGGCUCAACCUCGGGUCUGCAGUCGAUACGAGCAAACUAGAGUGUUGCAGGGGAGACUGGAAUUCCUGGUGUAGCGGUGAAAUGCGCAGAUAUCAGAAGGAACACCGGUGGCGAAGGCGGGUCUCUGGGCAACAACUGACGCUGAGGAGCGAAAGCGUGGGGAGCGAACAGG